rnacentral:tRNA from 1 species
GGUUGUGGCUCAGUGGUAGAGUGCUUGCCUAUUAUGCCUGAGGCACUUGGUUCCAUCCCCAGCACCA